UUUAGAUUCCUCUGUUUGUUUCUCUUUUCUUGAACUGUCAUCAGCUUGGCCCUUUGGUUUCUUGCCUGUCACACCAAGAUCAUCUGAGUCAGCUGUAUCUAAAUUCUCUAAAGGUUCUUGGUUUGAAUUAUCAGAAUCCCCAUCUGUAUUUGUGCCUUGUUCAGUUCCUGUAUGUUUCUCUGUUCCUUCUGUUUGAGCAUUUUGAGUAUUUGUUUUGUCUUGCUUUGGUUCUUGGGCAGUUUUAGAUUCCUCUGUUUGUUUCUCAUUU